AGGGCUGGUACCUGCGGUUAUUCCACAGGCUAGUUAAUAACAUGUCAGGCAGGAAAUCCAAAGUGUGGGAUCAUUUUGAGAAGGUGAAGGACGAACCCAAGGUGAUAUGUAAACUCAUCUUCAUUGGUCGACUACAAACAUGACGUAUCAUCUAAAACAUGGAAGUAGCUACAUGCCCUUUAGCCGACAGCGUCAUUAACAGGCGGCUCGCUCAGUGUGUGACGUGCACUUGUAGAUAAAAUAUAGGCCUAUAUUAAUGAAGGUUCAUUAGUACGGUUUUGUAUUUCUCUGUAAUGUAGCACAGUGUUAACAAUGUUACUGAUACUGUUCUUUCUCACACCUUCAACUCAAACCAUUGUGUUGCCCCGCCCAAAAUAUAUAUACUUUGAUAAUUAGAUGAAUAUGGUAAAUAUGCAGACUAGGGUUAGGGGGGUUGAGUUAGGGUUAGGGUUAGUUGACUUAUGGCCCAAAUGACAACUAUUGGUGGACUAGGAAAAUUCUUAGUCCGGGGCAGCCCUAGCAUAUCAAAAAGAAAACUAUGAUGAAAAAGUAAGAAACUAGGUUCUGCUCUUUAAAGUUUCCCACUAAACCAAAACAAAGUGUCAGUCAAAGCAUGUUUAAGUUUCCACUCUAUGUCGUAAUCAGGUGGCACCAUUUACCAAAUAUUAUAACACCUGCAUUUUAUUUAGAUUUCAUUUUGAUACACGCAUAUAUAUUUUGCUUGCAUCUUUAAUUUAUAAAGUCUCAGAGGUAUUCGGUUGCACAUCGGGAGUUUAGUCAGCCUCCUGUACAAUAUCAAGAAACAACUUUAAUAUGUCAUAUCAUGAAGAAAAAAAAGCUUCCGUACAAAUAAUCUGUGUCUUGUUAUUUUAACUCCAACCGGAGCCCUGUUUUAUAGAGAUUUUAAAAGAAAGAACAACUUUAAACUGAGCCAUUGCACCUCAAUACAAACACAAUGUAGUGUUUAUUUUAAAGCAGAUAAAUAUAUAAUAAAGUUUGAAAAGUUUAAAAACGUACAUCCUAGCUCCGUCUGCAAAGUAAUGCCUUUACCUCAACAGUGGUGUUUAAAACUGUAGAUAUUGUUUUGCACAUUCACAUAUUUUAACCACUUCUAAUAUAAUCAUAGUGGAGAGCAUGUGACUAUAAUGGAAACGAGAAAAUAUACAUAUAAAGCUCACUUUAAUAAGAUGGUAUAUAUCGGAAUGUGGAGCUGUUGUAAUAGAAACAUGGCAUGAUGAUUGUAUGGUUAAAUGGGAAAUGUAUCGGUAGUGUGUUUAGUUGAUCAUUUAUUUGGUUGGAGCACUUUAAUGUUAAAAAUAUAUAUAUUAUCUUGAUAAAAAUCACUAUUAAAUGUCCACUUUUACAUGUUGCAGCAUGUGAGCUUUGGUACUCUCUGAAUGUCUUAUGUUUUAACUAUGUUGUGAUGACAGGCUGUCGUAGAGUGACGUCUCUAUGAUACCUCUCGUGUCUUAAACUAGCUCGCUGUGUCAUCCAGGUGUUGGAGAGUGCUUCCAAAUCUGGUGACUCGGCCAGUCCUGGUUUCAGACAAUGUUUUUAAAAAAACGCAGAUCUUGGUUUAGGCCUAUUACUCUACUUUUUUGUUUGUUUUUAUCAUUUGUGAUACUAUUUUCCAACAUUAUAUGUAAUGUGUGAUUUCCUCAAAUAUCAGUACGGUCAUUAAACACAAACAAGCUGUAAAGAACAACAAUAAAAUGGUGAUUGGUUUUUUGUUUUCUUUUUAAAGUAGGCAAAAUACAUAAACCUUUCCUGGGACGCCACUGUCUGUGUGUGAUCGUGUAUGUUAACGUUGACCCAUGUGGUGAUGUCAGGUUAACAUUUGGGCGGAUUUAGUGCAGGAAGGUUUUGUCGGCAAUAUGAAGUCAGAUACAUAAUGUAUAUUGUAUAUACUGUAUUUCUCAGAAACAAUGGAACAAAUAAAAACAUGAAUACUGUGUCAUGUACUAGGCAGAUUCAUCAUUGUGCAUCACUGUUUACCAUCUCUGGCUAUGAGUUUGCCCUGAGUAGUUGCUCUUGUAUCACUUUGAAAUGAUAGUGAACACCAAACUAAUGCUUGCAUUGUGCUGCCUGUUAUCAAGCAGCUGUCAUUACAUUAUGUAUUUUAAAUAAAGAUGAUUUAGGAAAAUGCCA